rnacentral:rRNA from 1 species
UACGGGGGGAGCAAGCGUUGUUCGGAUUUACUGGGCGUAAAGGGCGCGUAGGCGGCCACUGCAAGUCAGUUGUGAAAUCUCCGGGCUUAACCCGGAAAGGUCAACUGAUACUGCAGGGCUAGAGUGCAGAAGGGGCAACUGGAAUUCUCGGUGUAGCGGUGAAAUGCGUAGAUAUCGAGAGGAACACCUGCGGCGAAGGCGGGUUGCUGGGCUGACACUGACGCUGAAGUGCGAAAGCUAGGGGAGCGAACGGG